CCUACGGGUGGCAGCAGUGGGGAAUAUUUCACAAUGGGGGAAACCCUGAUGCAGCGACGCCGCGUGAGGGAUGAAGGAUUUCGGGAUGUAAAGCGCUAUUAGCAGGGAAGAAAAUGAUGGUAACUGAUUAAUAAGGCUCGGCUAACUACGUGCCAGCAGCCGCGGUAAUACGUAGGGGGCAAGCGUUAUCCGGAUUUACUGGGUGUAAAGAGGGCGUAGAGGGCAAUGAAAGUUUGAGGUGAAAAGCGGGGGCUCAACCCUCGGACUGCUUGGGAAACUGUACGGCUGGAGUACGUUAGAGGUAAGUGGAAGUCCUAGUGUAGCGGUGAAAUGCGUAGAUAUUAGGAGGAACACCGAUGGCGAAGGCAGCUUACUG
rnacentral:rRNA from 1 species